rnacentral:rRNA from 1 species
ACGGAGGGUGCAAGCGUUAUCCGGAUUCACUGGGUUUAAAGGGUACGUAGGCGGACUAGUAAGUCAGUGGUGAAAGCCCGCAGCUCAACUGUGGAAUUGCCAUUGAAACUGCUAGCCUUGAGUUCGGUUGAUGUGGACGGAAUGUAGCAUGUAGCGGUGAAAUGCUUAGAUAUGCUACAGAACACCAAUUGCGAAGGCAGUUCACAAAACCGAUACUGACGCUGAGGUACGAAAGCGUGGGUAGCGAACAGG